rnacentral:lncRNA from 10 species
GCCUUUGACUCUGGACGGGAGGAAGUGCGAGUGGAUCCAAAGGGUCGAGCGGAGUGGGGUACCGCCCUGACGCCCAAGAGCAAAUGGAAGAGGGCGGCCUCCGGGGUAAAGGUGGGGCGCUGGGGAGCCCCGGAGAAACCGGCGUUUCCUAGUCUGUCGCUCAGUCCCUGCUUCCGGCUUCCGACGCGCAACAGCUGGAGGGCGACGCUGGCUCCGCGGCGACUCCUGGGGCUGCGGCCGCGGUGGUAGCGCGAAUGGGAGGUGGAGCGGAGCUACUGCGCCGAGGGACGCUUCAGAAACUCUGUUUCAGUCCUUCGCGGAUCCUAGGAUGUGACAGGUGUUCGAGUUAAAAGGUCUUAAGGCGAUCGGUUGAUCCAAAAGCAGCUGAAUCUUUAGGAGGCCCAGGCAGGAGGAUCGCUUGAGUCCAGGAGUUCGAGACCAGCCUGGGCCACAGAGCAAGGUCACCAUCUCUACAAAAGAAAUUUUACAAAUCAGCCGGACAUGAUGGCGGGCACCUGUGGUCCCAACUACCAGGGAGGCUGAGGUGGGAGGAUCGCUUGAUAGCCCAGGAAGUUGACGGUGCAGAGAUCCCUCCACUGAACUCCAGGCCGGGUGACAGCAGAGCGAGAUCCUGUCUCAAAAAAAACAUAACCGACAUCCAGAAGUGAAAUAAAUUAGCCAGUGUCACAAAGUAUUAAUGGUUGAGUCACAAAUUGAAUCCUGUUUACCUGAUUCUUUACGUGAUUCCCAUGUAAGGAAUGUUAAAAACAGUAAAUACUAAUUCCUCUGCGUCCUGAA